rnacentral:rRNA from 1 species
GGGAAACCCAGCAUGAGUUAUGUCAUGUUAUCGAUAUGUGAAUACAUAGCAUAUCAGAAGGCACACCCGGAGAACUGAAACAUCUUAGUACCCGGAGGAAGAGAAAGAAAAUUCGAUUCCCUUAGUAGCGGCGAGCGAAACGGGAAGAGCCCAAACCAACAAGCUUGCUUGUUGGGGUUGUAGGACACUCUAUACGGAGUUACAAAGGACGACAUUAGACGAAUCAUCUGGAAAGAUGAAUCAAAGAAGGUAAUAAUCCUGUAGUCGAAAAUGUUGUCUCUCUUGAGUGGAUCCUGAGUACGACGGAGCACGUGAAAUUCCGUCGGAAUCUGGGAGGACCAUCUCCUAAGGCUAAAUACUCUCUAGUGACCGAUAGUGAACCAGUACCGUGAGGGAAAGGUGAAAAGCACCCCGGAAGGGGAGUGAAAUAGAACCUGAAACCGUGUGCUUACAAGUAGUCAGAGCCCGUUAAUGGGUGAUGGCGUGCCUUUUGUAGAAUGAACCGGCGAGUUACGAUUUGAUGCAAGGUUAAGCAGUAAAUGUGGAGCCGUAGCGAAAGCGAGUCUGAAUAGGGCGUUUAGUAUUUGGUCGUAGACCCGAAACCAGGUGAUCUACCCUUGGUCAGGUUGAAGUUCAGGUAACACUGAAUGGAGGACCGAACCGACUUACGUUGAAAAGUGAGCGGAUGAACUGAGGGUAGCGGAGAAAUUCCAAUCGAACCUGGAGAUAGCUGGUUCUCUCCGAAAUAGCUUUAGGGCUAGCCUCAAGUGAUGAUUAUUGGAGGUAGAGCACUGUUUGGACGAGGGGCCCCUCUCGGGUUACCGAAUUCAGACAAACUCCGAAUGCCAAUUAAUUUAACUUGGGAGUCAGAACAUGGGUGAUAAGGUCCGUGUUCGAAAGGGAAACAGCCCAGACCACCAGCUAAGGUCCCAAAAUAUAUGUUAAGUGGAAAAGGAUGUGGCGUUGCCCAGACAACUAGGAUGUUGGCUUAGAAGCAGCCAUCAUUUAAAGAGUGCGUAAUAGCUCACUAGUCGAGUGACACUGCGCCGAAAAUGUACCGGGGCUAAACAUAUUACCGAAGCUGUGGAUUGUCCUUUGGACAAUGGUAGGAGAGCGUUCUAAGGGCGUUGAAGCAUGAUCGUAAGGACAUGUGGAGCGCUUAGAAGUGAGAAUGCCGGUGUGAGUAGCGAAAGACGGGUGAGAAUCCCGUCCACCGAUUGACUAAGGUUUCCAGAGGAAGGCUCGUCCGCUCUGGGUUAGUCGGGUCCUAAGCUGAGGCCGACAGGCGUAGGCGAUGGAUAACAGGUUGAUAUUCCUGUACCACCUAUAAUCGUUUUAAUCGAUGGGGGGACGCAGUAGGAUAGGCGAAGCGUGCGAUUGGAUUGCACGUCUAAGCAGUAAGGCUGAGUAUUAGGCAAAUCCGGUACUCGUUAAGGCUGAGCUGUGAUGGGGAGAAGACAUUGUGUCUUCGAGUCGUUGAUUUCACACUGCCGAGAAAAGCCUCUAGAUAGAAAAUAGGUGCCCGUACCGCAAACCGACACAGGUAGUCAAGAUGAGAAUUCUAAGGUGAGCGAGCGAACUCUCGUUAAGGAACUCGGCAAAAUGACCCCGUAACUUCGGGAGAAGGGGUGCUCUUUAGGGUUAACGCCCAGAAGAGCCGCAGUGAAUAGGCCCAAGCGACUGUUUAUCAAAAACACAGGUCUCUGCUAAACCGUAAGGUGAUGUAUAGGGGCUGACGCCUGCCCGGUGCUGGAAGGUUAAGAGGAGUGGUUAGCUUCUGCGAAGCUACGAAUCGAAGCCCCAGUAAACGGCGGCCGUAACUAUAACGGUCCUAAGGUAGCGAAAUUCCUUGUCGGGUAAGUUCCGACCCGCACGAAAGGCGUAACGAUUUGGGCACUGUCUCAACGAGAGACUCGGUGAAAUCAUAGUACCUGUGAAGAUGCAGGUUACCCGCGACAGGACGGAAAGACCCCGUGGAGCUUUACUGUAGCCUGAUAUUGAAAUUCGGCACAGCUUGUACAGGAUAGGUAGGAGCCUUUGAAACGUGAGCGCUAGCUUACGUGGAGGCGCUGGUGGG